rnacentral:rRNA from 1 species
AGGACGAACGCUGGCGGCGUGCUUAACACAUGCAAGUCGAACGAUGAUCUGGGAGCUUGCUUCUGGGGAUUAGUGGCGAACGGGUGAGUAACACGUGAGCAAUCUGCCCUUGACUCUGGGAUAAGCGUUGGAAACGACGUCUAAUACCGGAUACGAGCUGUGGCCGCAUGGUCAACAGUUGGAAAGAAUUUUGGUCAAGGAUGAGCUCGCGGCCUAUCAGCUUGUUGGUGAGGUAAUGGCUCACCAAGGCGACGACGGGUAGCCGGCCUGAGAGGGUGACCGGCCACACUGGGACUGAGACACGGCCCAGACUCCUACGGGAGGCAGCAGUGGGAAUAUUGCACAAUGGGCGCAAGCCUGAUGCAGCAACGCCGCGUGAGGGACGACGGCCUUCGGGUUGUAACCUCUUUAGCAGGGAGAAGGGCUUCGGCUUGACGGUACCUGCAGAAAAGCACCGGCUAACUACGUGCCAGCAGCCGCGGUAA